GAGGGAGCAGAAAACUUAAGAUAAACCUACGUUUCUAAGAAAAUUUAAGGUAUUUUUUAUUGCGGCCCACAUAAACUUAAACCUUGUUUAUGUGGCCCAUGCCAGACUUUGAGUUUGACAUGAUUGCAUUAGAGUGUACAUCUGUGGACUCAGUCUCAUCAUGGUUUUGGUUAGAAUGAGGUGAGUUACUAUCCACAGUACAUUCAGUGAACAUAACUUAUGCUUCCAGGACUCCCUAUUCAUGCAAAAAGAGCACCGUGUAUCCAAGCAGUCUAAUGAUGCAAAGUUAUACCAAUGUAUGCCCAACUCUAAUGAAAUCUGCAUAACGAUACCCCACUCUCUAAUGAACGCAGUGCCAUCACGGUGAUACUAUGAUAACAUUUAAACUCACAAUUUUGAUGGUGUCACUUUAAUAGUAUUGCUUCAGAAUGAAUGCUUCGGUUGGUUCCGAAAGUGUUGCAAAAAAAAAAAAAAAAAAAAAGCGGUGCAGAGCUCCAACAGUAAAGCAAAAAAAAAAACAACAAAAAAACCCUUGCCAAGUCCAUUCGUUUUCAAGGUGACUGGACAACUUUUAGAACUCUGAAUUACUGUAGUUUUUAUAAAUCUCCCCCUUGUUCCUAUGAAUGCACCUUCAACCACAG